UGGGGAAUUUUGGACAAUGGGCGAAAGCCUGAUCCAGCCAUUCCGCGUGAGUGAAGAAGGCCUUCGGGUUGUAAAGCUCUUUCGCAAGGGAAGAAAACUUACACAAUAACACUGUGUGAGGCUGACGGUACCUUGAUAAGAAGCACCGGCUAACUACGUGCCAGCAGCCGCGGUAAUACGUAGGGUGCGAGCGUUAAUCGGAAUUACUGGGCGUAAAGCGUGCGCAGGCGGUUUGGCAAGUCAGAUGUGAAAUCCCCGAGCUCAACUUGGGAACUGCGUUUGAAACUGCCAGACUAGAAUAUGUCAGAGGGGGGUAGAAUUCCACGUGUAGCAGUGAAAUGCGUAGAGAUGUGGAGGAAUACCAAUGGCGAAGGCAGCCCCCUGGGAUAAUAUUGACGCUCAUGCACGAAAGCGUGGGGAGCAAACAGG
rnacentral:rRNA from 1 species